AGCUACACAUGCAGUCGACGGUAGCACAGAGGAGCUUGCUCCUUGGGUGACGAGUGGCGGACGGGUGAGUAAUGUCUGGGAAACUGCCCGAUGGAGGGGGAUAACUACUGGAAACGGUAGCUAAUACCGCAUAACGUCGCAAGACCAAAGAGGGGGACCUUCGGGCCUCUUGCCAUCGGAUGUGCCCAGAUGGGAUUAGCUAGUAGGUGGGGUAACGGCUCACCUAGGCGACGAUCCCUAGCUGGUCUGAGAGGAUGACCAGCCACACUGGAACUGAGACACGGUCCAGACUCCUACGGGAGGCAGCAGUGGGGAAUAUUGCACAAUGGGCGCAAGCCUGAUGCAGCCAUGCCGCGUGUAUGAAGAAGGCCUUCGGGUUGUAAAGUACUUUCAGCGAGGAGGAAGGUGUUGUGGUUAAUAACCGCAGCAAUUGACGUUACUCGCAGAAGAAGCACCGGCUAACUCCGUGCCAGCAGCCGCGGUAAUACGGAGGGUGCAAGCGUUAAUCGGAAUUACUGGGCGUAAAGCGCACGCAGGCGGUCUGUCAAGUCGGAUGUGAAAUCCCCGGGCUCAACCUGGGAACUGCAUCCGAAACUGGCGGCUAGAGUCUUGUAGAGGGGGGUAGAAUUCCUCGUGUAGCAGGUGAAAUGCUUAGAGAUCUGGAGGAUUACCGGUGGCGGAUGCGG
rnacentral:rRNA from 1 species